UGGAGACAGAAGGUUUAGCUGUGCCUUAGCUCUGCCUGUGACAGUAGGCAGGACACUGUUUCUGAACCUGGGCCUUCAUUUGUCUAAAUGGAGAUAAUUUAUUCAUUUACUCAAGAAACAAACAUUCUGGGCAAAAGAGAAAAAGAAUGGGACUUGCUCACAGCUCGGGAGGAGGAGCAGACAUAUAAACAAUUAUAAAGGAGCUCGGUGAGCCCCUGAGGGAUUCUUCGGAAAGCAGGACUCGGAUCAACACCGUGCUAUUAAGACUCAGCCUACAGAGAGGCGGGCUAGCUUGACAUCGAGGGUGGAUGCGCCAGUGAUGGGCUGCCAGGCACCAAAGACAGGCCUUACUCCAAAUUCUACAAGCUAGUACCAACCUAUCAAGACUAUGUACUGCAGGUUCUAGAGGGCAGAUACUGCAUUUAGUUCAUAGUUGUAUCUCCAAUGCCUACGCCAUGCCUGGCACAUGGUAGGUGACAAGUAACUGUGUAUGGAGUGAAUAAAGCUCCACAGAAUCUUUC